rfam:Oreochromis niloticus linkage group LG13, whole genome shotgun sequence.
GUCGGUUAUGGAGAUAUGUAUCCCUCCACUAUCGGAGGUAAAUUCGUCGGAUCCUUGUGCGCCAUCGCCGGAGUGCUGACUAUAGCGCUACCUGUUCCUGUGAUCGUGUCCAAU